rnacentral:lncRNA from 1 species
CUGACUAACAUUCUCUACGUAUCGAAACAUAUCAUUCAAGACAAAGUACCCUCUAUCUUGCGGUGCUAGGAAGAAAGUUUGACAGAAAUUUAGGAUCAAGUUGUCUUUCCCAGUUAAAUAUCCAGUCACAAGGACAUGCACCCCACCAUUGAAGGAUUCUUGGGCAUCCACAGACUUAAUCUCUGCUCUGAAUUCUCCAUAGUUAAGUGAGAGUAUGAUAUCCGGUCACAAGGACAUGUACCCCACCAUUGAAGGAUUCUUGGGCAUCCACAGACUUAAUCUCUGCUCUGAAGUCUCCAUAGUUAAGUGAGAGUAUCUUGUCAUUGAUUGC